rnacentral:rRNA from 1 species
ACUCAAAGGAAUUGACGGGGGCCCGCACAAGCGGUGGAGCAUGUGGUUCAAUUCGAUGCAGAGCGAAGAACCUUACCUGGGCUUGACAUGCAGGAAGUAGAAACCGGAAACGGCAACGACCUGUUAAGUCAGGAACCUGCACAGGUGGUGCAUGGCUGUCGUCAGCUCGUGCCGUGAGGUGUUGGGUUAAGUCCCGCAACGAGCGCAACCCUCACUCUAUGUUGCCAUCGGGUAAUGCCGGGCACUCUUAGGGAACUGCCGGCGAAGAGCUGGAGGAAGGGGGGGAUGACGUCAAGUCCGUAUGCCCCUUAUGUCCAGGGCUACACACAUGCUACAAUGGCCGAUACAGAGGGUUCCCAACCCGCGAGGGGGAGGCAAUCCCACAAAGUCGGUCUCAGUUCGGAUUGCAGGCUGCAACUCGCCUGCAUGAAGUCGGAAUCGCUAGUAAGCGCAGAUCAGCAGGCUGCGCUGAAUACGUUCCCGGGCCUUGUACACACCGCCCGU